rnacentral:misc_RNA from 1 species
GAUGAAGAACGCAGCGAAAUGCGAUAAGUAAUGUGAAUUGCAGAAUUCAGUGAAUCAUCGAAUCUUUGAACGCACAUUGCGCCCCCUGGUAUUCCGGGGGGCAUGCCUGUUCGAGCGUCAUUUCACCACUCAAGCCACGCUUGGUAUUGGGCAACGCGGUCCGCCGCGUGCCUCAAAUCGACCGGCUGGGUCUUCUGUCCCCUAAGCGUUGUGGAAACUAUUCGCUAAAGGGUGUUCGGGAGGCUACGCCGUAAAACAACCCCAUUUCUAAGGUUGACCUCGGAUCAGGUAGGGAUACCCGCUGAACUUAAGCAUAUCAAUAAGCGGAGGA